AUGCUAAAUGGCAUCCCGGGUGCCCAGAUCAAACACAAGAAAGGCCUAAGGCAGGGCGAUCCGUUGUCCCCUCUGCUGUUCAUCUUGGCUAUUGACCCCCUUCAUCGUCUCAUCUCCAAGGCGGCCGCUGAUGGGAUCAUUGCACCAUUGCCGGGCAGAGAUGUAAAGCUCAGAGUCAGUCUAUAUGCAGAUGAUGCAAUAAUAUUUGCAAACCCAGACAAGGCGGAAAUUGACAAGCUGCUACAACUCCUUAAGCUGUUCGGUGACGCCUCUGGCCUGCACCUCAACCAAGCAAAAUCCUCAAUAAGCCCCAUCAGAUGCGAUGAGCUGGACCUGGAUCUCAUUCUGCAGAGUUUUGGAGGGCAAAUCAGGCCUUUCCCAAUAACAUACCUUGGUCUUCCGAUCAGGCUGGGACGACUACGACUUGUGCAUCUGCAGUUUGUACUUGAUAGGACAAGAGUUAGGCUGGCCGGCUGGAAGGGCAAGUUAAUAUCAAUUGCUGGAAGAAGGGUGUUAGUCCGUUGUGUUCUCACGGCAAUCCCCACUUUUGCCCUGUCCGUGUUACGAGCGCCGAAAAAAUUCUUCAAGGAAGUUGACAAAGCAAGGUGGCGCUUUCUCUGGGCACAGGAUGAUGACCUCGCCGGAGGAAAAUGCAAGGUCAACUGGACGACGGUUUGCUCGCCAACGGAAAAAGGGGGAUUGGGAAUCCACAACUUGAGCAAAUUCUCCAGAGCCCUCCGGUUGCGCUGGCUAUGGCUUGCCUGGCACCACCAAGAACGCCCGUGGGCAGGCACUAAGCUGCCAUGCAAUCAGCAAGACACGACUCUGUUUGCUGCUGCCACAACGGUGACCCUCGGCGACGGGAAGACGGCCUCUUUUUGGAGCUCCACCUGGCUCACCUCGCCACCGUUGGCCGCCUUGUUCCCCGACCUGUUCAAAAGAUCGAGAGGAAAACAGAAAACGGUGGCGGCUGCGCUGCAUAAUGACUCAUGGAUUCAGGAUCUGCGACAUCGAGGCUACGACGACAUCGCUACAAGCUUCCUUCUCAUGUGGCGCGUCAUUGCAGGUGCAAACACGCUGUUGCAAGCAGGGACCCAAGACACCAUCAGAUGGAUUUUUGACGCCUCCGGGAAAUACUCAGCAGGCUCGGCAUACAAGGUCCAAUUCGCGGAGACUCAAUAG
rnacentral:rRNA from 1 species